UUGUGGACAUUUCAUGAACAAGGGUAAUUGCUCAAAAUUUGCACAUCUUAUUUCUUCUUAUGAGUGGCUUUCUCCUUCUCUUAUCUGUGGGAGAGAGGAGGUCUUGAUCCAUUAUUUUCAACCACCAGAAAAACAUCUAGAUCUUUGAUCAUGAACUUUGCACAAAUUCCAAAUGCAUGCUACAGCCUAGUGAUUUUUUAUAGUAAUGCAGGCUCUAG
rnacentral:misc_RNA from 1 species